rnacentral:misc_RNA from 1 species
UGUGGGAGCUGGCUUGCCUGCGAAGGCGGCCUGUCAGUCACUAAAUCUGUUACCGAACUGGCGCUAUCGCAGGCAAGCCAGCUCCCACA